CUUGCUUCUCUUGAGAGCGGCGGACGGGUGAGUAAUGCCUAGGAAUCUGCCUGGUAGUGGGGGAUAACGUUCGGAAACGGACGCUAAUACCGCAUACGUCCUACGGGAGAAAGCAGGGGACCUUCGGGCCUUGCGCUAUCAGAUGAGCCUAGGUCGGAUUAGCUAGUUGGUGGGGUAAUGGCUCACCAAGGCGACGAUCCGUAACUGGUCUGAGAGGAUGAUCAGUCACACUGGAACUGAGACACGGUCCAGACUCCUACGGGAGGCAGCAGUGGGGAAUAUUGGACAAUGGGCGAAAGCCUGAUCCAGCCAUGCCGCGUGUGUGAAGAAGGUCUUCGGAUUGUAAAGCACUUUAAGUUGGGAGGAAGGGUUGUAGAUUAAUACUCUGCAAUUUUGACGUUACCGACAGAAUAAGCACCGGCUAACUCUGUGCCAGCAGCCGCGGUAAUACAGAGGGUGCAAGCGUUAAUCGGAAUUACUGGGCGUAAAGCGCGCGUAGGUGGUUUGUUAAGUUGGAUGUGAAAUCCCCGGGCUCAACCUGGGAACUGCAUUCAAAACUGACUGACUAGAGUAUGGUAGAGGGUGGUGGAAUUUCCUGUGUAGCGGUGAAAUGCGUAGAUAUAGGAAGGAACACCAGUGGCGAA
rnacentral:rRNA from 1 species